rnacentral:rRNA from 1 species
UACGAAGGGGGCUAGCGUUGCUCGGAAUCACUGGGCGUAAAGGGUGCGUAGGCGGGUUUUUAAGUCAGGGGUGAAAUCCUGGAGCUCAACUCCAGAACUGCCUUUGAUACUGAAGAUCUCGAGUCCGGGAGAGGUGAGUGGAACUGCGAGUGUAGAGGUGAAAUUCGUAGAUAUUCGCAAGAACACCAGUGGCGAAGGCGGCUCACUGGCCCGGUACUGACGCUGAGGCACGAAGGCCAGGGGAGCAAACGGG